CCCUGCGCGAGAGAUGCAUGCUAAGGUCGAGAAGGAGAUGUCUCUGUUCAAGAAGAUUCAUCUAGUGGUGCUGCAAGCCAAGCUGAAAAGGAGGAGGUGGAUUCGAGAUCGAUCUAUGUUGGUAAUGUGGACUAUGCCUGCACUCCUGAGGAAGUGCAACAACAUUUUCAGUCUUGUGGGACUGUAAACAGAGUAACAAUUUUAACAGACAAGUUUGGUCAGCCCAAGGGAUUUACAUAUGUGGAAUUUGUUGAAGUAGAGGCUGUUCAGAAUGUUCUGCUGUUGAAUGAAUCGGAAUUGCAUGGUCGUCAGCUAAAGGUUUGCAUCAAUUUGAUUAGGUUAAACUUUACAAUGUAAACAUCCAACUGAUUUGGUUGUGGUGCAGGUGUCAGCUAAAAGGACCAAUGUACCAGGAAUGAAACAGUACCGGGGUCGUCGAGCAAGCCCAUAUAUGGGCUUUCGAUCACGAAGGCCUUACAUGCCACCUCCAUUUUAUGCUCCUUUUGCAUAUGG